rnacentral:rRNA from 1 species
AGUCAAACUUGAUUUAUUAUUACAAUAGUCAAAACUUUCAACAACGGAUCUCUUGGUUCUCGCAUCGAUGAAGAACGCAGCGAAAUGCGAUACGUAAUAUGAAUUGCAGAUAUUCGUGAAUCAUCGAAUCUUUGAACGCACAUUGCGCCCUUUGGUAUUCCAAAGGGCAUGCCUGUUUGAGCGUCAUUUCUCCCUCAAACCCCCGGGUUUGGUGUUGAGCAAUACGCUAGGUUUGUUUGAAAGAAUUUAACGUGGAAACUUAUUUUAAGCGACUUAGGUUUAUCCAAAAACGCUUAUUUUGCUAGUGGCCACCACAAUUAUUUCAUAACUUGACCUCAA